rnacentral:rRNA from 1 species
GGUUAAGCGACUAAGCGUACACGGUGGAUGCCCUGGCAGUCAGAGGCGAUGAAGGACGUGCUAAUCUGCGAUAAGCGUCGGUAAGGUGAUAUGAACCGUUAUAACCGGCGAUUUCCGAAUGGGGAAACCCAGUGUGUUUCGACACACUAUCAUUAACUGAAUCCAUAGGUUAAUGAGGCGAACCGGGGGAACUGAAACAUCUAAGUACCCCGAGGAAAAGAAAUCAACCGAGAUUCCCCCAGUAGCGGCGAGCGAACGGGGAGGAGCCCAGAGCCUGAAUCAGUGUGUGUGUUAGUGGAAGCGUCUGGAAAGGCGCGCGAUACAGGGUGACAGCC